GACGUCGUAGUGCAAUUGGUUAAGCACGCGCUCCCGGAGAGGGUGGAAUGUGAGCUCAAGUCGCGUCUGACGUCA